rnacentral:RNase_P_RNA from 1 species
AAGGUGGGGCGAUCUGCCGCCCGAAAGGGAGGAAAGUCCGGACAGGACAGGGCAUCCCGCUGCGGAAAGCGCAGGUAGGGGUAACCUUACGCCCGUCGUAACAGAGAACAACCGCCGGCACACAAGCGUGGGAGGCUUCGGCCGCACACCACGCGCCGGCAAGGGUGAAAACGCGGGGCAAGAGCCCACGACGCACGUCAGCGAUGCCGUGCGGGUACGACACCGGGACCUGCAAAACCAAAUAUACUGGCAGAUGAGGACGGCCCGUCCGAUGCCAGGGGGUAGGUUGCGAAGAUAAAUGGCAGAAAAUCCGUGAACAGAAACCGGCUUACGGCUCCACCUUUUCU